ACUUCGUGUGCGCUAUUGACAACUGCAGUUGAACUUUCGGAAUUUGUAUUAAUACUAUUUCAUACGGCGUUCUGUGUUUUACUAUGUGCGUCUGGCUAUGUUGCUACUGAAUUUAACCAAUCUAGUUUGAUGGGAAACACUGAAGCGGUGUCUGAAAACCCCACUGCCUGUACCGGGAUUUGAUUCUUGAACCUUUUGAAUUGAUAGUCAAGCGGGUUACCACUGGACCACCAUGCAUCAAUCCACAUCCGAUACAAGUAGGGCCUAGUGAGUUGGCAAUCCCCGCCAUCUUGUUUCUGGUGAGAACUCCCUCCGGUCAAAGUCAUAUGGUCAAUGAUGACGUUCUGUUCAAACAUGUGCUUAUUAAUGACGGAGAAGCCUACAUCGUCGAGUCAGGUCGUUUUACCUCUCCUGUUGACGGAACCUACAGCUUCAUACUACCAUACUGCGUUGCGCCAAACAGGUUCGCGCACGUGGAGAUCGUUAACAACAGUAAAUCCGUACGUAGGGGCAGCAUAAUCGCGGCGCGGUGGACCCAGUGUGCCAACCUGCAUUUGUUGACGUGGCAGUAGGCCGGGCAUCAGAUUUUGGUCAGGUGCACGUACCCCACCCUCCUGUACGAGGAGCAGUAUGCGCGGACAACGUUAUCUGGUGCCUUGAUGUAUGUUUAGUCUUUGGUUCAUUUAUAGCGUAUUAUUAUACAACACUUAUGUACAUUAUUGACAAUACCUGAUAAUGUAUUGUUUGAUGUUGACGUUU